GCUCUCCCAGCUCUGCACGGCCGCACCGCCUUCCCCGUACGGCCUUCGUUAAGGGGAGAGAGAGCAAGGCGCCCCCCGGGACCUGGACCGGCCCCGCCGUGGCCCCUCCCGACCUGGGGGCGCGACAGAC